AACGAACGCUGGCGGCAGGCCUAACACAUGCAAGUCGAGCGCUCUCUUCGGAGGGAGCGGCGGACGGGUUAGUAACGCGUGGGAAUGUGCCUCGGGGUGCGGAACAACCACUGGAAACGGUGGCUAAUACCGCAUGAUGUCUACGGACCAAAGAUUUAUCGCCCCGAGAUCAGCCCGCGUUGGAUUAGCUAGUUGGUGCGGUAACGGCGCACCAAGGCGACGAUCCAUAGCUGGUUUGAGAGGAUGAUCAGCAACACUGGGACUGAGACACGGCCCAGACUCCUACGGGAGGCAGCAGUGGGGAAUCUUGGACAAUGGGCGCAAGCCUGAUCCAGCCAUGCCGCGUGGACGAUGAAGGCCUUAGGGUUGUAAAGUCCUUUCACCGGUGAAGAUAAUGACGGUAGCCGGAGAAGAAGCCCCGGCUAACUCCG
rnacentral:rRNA from 1 species